rnacentral:rRNA from 1 species
GAUGAACGCUGGCGGCGUGCCUAAUACAUGCAAGUCGAGCGAACAGACGAGGAGCUUGCUCCUCUGACGUUAGCGGCGGACGGGUGAGUAACACGUGGAUAACCUACCUAUAAGACUGGGAUAACUUCGGGAAACCGGAGCUAAUACCGGAUAAUAUAUUGAACCGCAUGGUUCAAUAGUGAAAGACGGUUUUGCUGUCACUUAUAGAUGGAUCCGCGCCGCAUUAGCUAGUUGGUAAGGUAACGGCUUACCAAGGCAACGAUGCGUAGCCGACCUGAGAGGGUGAUCGGCCACACUGGAACUGAGACACGGCCCAGACUCCUACGAGAGGCAGGAGUAGGGAAUCUGCCGCAAGGGGCGAAAGCCGGACGGAGCAACGCCGCGUGAGAGAUGAAGGUCUGGGGAUCGAAAAACUCUGUUAUUGGGGAAGAACAAAUGUGUAAGUAACUAUGCGCGUUUUGACGGUACCUAAACAGAAAGCCAGGGCUAACUACG